UCUACCUGUGGCGGCCCAGAGUAUCCGGCGGCGUAGGCGAUGGGGAACAACAGGCGAAGGCCGGGCGUCCUCUCUCCCUGGCCCCCCUCUCUUCCAUGGAGAGGAUCCACCAUCCCCUUCUUCAUCAGCGACGGCCGUCGGACGCUACUGAUGGGUGAUGAGAGGUAGGACGAGAUCCCGGCUGAGCAGUGCAUCCCAUCAAACCCAGAGGAGGAAUGGAGAGUGUCAGCCCUCUUCCCAGCCGGCUGGAGGAGGGGCGGCGCCAGCCAGGCCCGAUGGUUCCAGGGCGCUUGGACCUCGACGAUUCUUUGGUUUUGAUGGGGUUUCCAAUUUUUGUUUACAAGGGCACAUGUUCUGGAUGGUGUUAUUUAUCAGAUCAGGGAGACCGAAUGAUUCAGUUCAGGGUCCUUAUUUGAGAACAUGCAGCAUUGCAGCCUGCCCACAAUGCGACACAAUCCUCUCCAUUGGAUGUGCACAUAUGAGACCUCGGCGCUGCACAUCCAUGUUGUUAUCUCCGCUGGCCGCCGGGGCAUAUGGUUCAGCGGAGAUAUACACACCAACAAACCUUCCUUCUGAAAUGCCGGAGGUUACCCACAAAUCCGCCCAGCCAGUACCCUAUGCCUGGGAGUGGUGGCACGAGCACUAGCAUAGCCGAAGAAGUGAAGAGGAGAACCGCCGCCUCGAUCUGGACAGGACGAGUUUGGACUGCCACCGCCGCCUCCUGCCUUUCGUCGCCUCUACGGAUCGUGCACCUCCCCGCUAGCGUUACCUGAAAGUUGCAGCAAGGCCAACCGGUGUCAAGUUUACACAUCCACUAUCUGCAGUGUUGUUUGGGUGCCCCACUACUCGGGCAGUCGGAUGACAACCAAAGCUCUAAGAAGAGCUGGCCAACACCAAGAUCGUCCGUCCAUCUGCUUCAAUGUUAUAUUACCCCAGGUAAUCAAUACUCUGUCCACUUCCAAGUCAGUUCUUUGUGUUGUGUGGAAUUGAUUUGGAAAAGCUGAUACACUUGGGGCACAUGUUUAUUUGUAUAUCAAUGCAUUGAUCGGAUCAUCACCUUGCAACCGCUGGUGAUACGCACUUGGUACAAAUACCUGUGAUGGCUAAUCUACCGUGCAAGUUUCAGGGAAUAAGUAUAGAGCUAGCCUUAGCUUGGUGCUACAAUGUUGCCAGAGAGACAUGGCCAUGUUCUCUCUUUUGGAGCAAAUUGUUUUAAAUCUCUCGACCCCUAUAGGACUGAUAGAAAUUAGUGGCAAACAAACAGUCGUCCUUGUGAUGGGCCGCACAUUUAGAAGCAAGAAUGCGAGCUCAUGAUUAACUAUGAUAUUCUCUCUUUGUAAUUGGUGCUCCUUUUAAAAGUAUAUACUUUCAUUUUA